rnacentral:misc_RNA from 1 species
UAUUCUCCUGGUUGGCGUUGUGGUGGUUGGUGGUGCAGCCUCUUUUGUCCUGUGCAACCCUGUCAGGUGAAGCAAGGCCUCUCACACCACCGUUACUCUGGCCUCUCAUGGCACUAGAAUUCUCAGAAUUCCUGAGAACACGCUGGGGUGGCGGUGGAGCUGGUGAGGAAGGACGGUGCUGGAGAUUCAAAUAUCCAUUGCUUUGAUUAGUAUUUUUGGUGGUACUUGUUUGAUUAGAAGCCUCUUUGUCGGCUCUCACGACCCUGCGGUCGACACGAACAGUGGUUCGAUGGACCGGGGCGUUGGAAUCGUUCUUCACCUGGACCUUCAUGCACCUGAGGCGCUUCCGGCUACCCCACUGCAGAACAAAAUUCGACGUCGUUUGCUUGGUGGUCUCCGAGGCGACUCUUAACAACCCAUCGCUUCCGAUUUUGUGGGUAUUAUUGGUGUUAACAUUAUUAUUGCUUUUCAAAGUGUCCUUUUCCAUCUUUUGUUGCACACCUGAAACUUCAACUCGCGGAAGAAAUCUGUUAUUCUCAAAUGAAUUUAACACCUGGGAAAGCUCAUUUUUUCUCGAAAGCUCAUUUUUUCUCAGACG